GACGAACGCUGGCGGCGUGCUUAACACAUGCAAGUCGAACGGAAAGGCCCUGCUUUUGUGGGGUGCUCGAGUGGCGAACGGGUGAGUAACACGUGAGUAACCUGCCCUUGACUUUGGGAUAACUUCAGGAAACUGGGGCUAAUACCGGAUAGGAGCUCCUGCUGCAUGGUGGGGGUUGGAAAGUUUCGGCGGUUGGGGAUGGACUCGCGGCUUAUCAGCUUGUUGGUGGGGUAGUGGCUUACCAAGGCUUUGACGGGUAGCCGGCCUGAGAGGGUGACCGGCCACAUUGGGACUGAGAUACGGCCCAGACUCCUACGGGAGGCAGCAGUGGGGAAUAUUGCACAAUGGGCGGAAGCCUGAUGCAGCAACGCCGCGUGCGGGAUGACGGCCUUCGGGUUGUAAACCGCUUUCGCCUGUGACGAAGCGUGAGUGACGGUAAUGGGUAAAGAAGCACCGGCUAACUACGUGCCAGCAGCCGCGGUGAUACGUAGGGUGCGAGCGUUGUCCGGAUUUAUUGGGCGUAAAGGGCUCGUAGGUGGUUGAUCGCGUCGGAAGUGUAAUCUUGGGGCUUAACCCUGAGCGUGCUUUCGAUACGGGUUGACUUGAGGAAGGUAGGGGAGAAUGGAAUUCCUGGUGGAGCGGUGGAAUGCGCAGAUAUCAGGAGGAACACCAGUGGCGAAGGCGGUUCUCUGGGCCUUUCCUGACGCUGAGGAGCGAAAGCGUGGGGAGCGAACAGGCUUAGAUACCCUGGUAGUCCGCGCUGUAAACGGUGGGUACUAGGUGUGGGGUCCAUUCCACGGGUUCCGUGCCGUAGCUAACGCUUUAAGUACCCCGCCUGGGGAGUACGGCCGCAAGGCUAAAACUCAAAGGAAUUGACGGGGCCCCGCACAAGCGGCGGAGCAUGCGGAUUAAUUCGAUGCAACGCGUAGAACCUUACCUGGGUUUGACAUGGAUCGGGAGUGCCCAGAGAUGGGUGUGCCUCUUUUGGGGUCGGUUCACAGGUGGUGCAUGGCUGUCGUCAGCUCGUGUCGUGAGAUGUUGGGUUAAGUCCCGCAACGAGCGCAACCCUUGUUCACUGUUGCCAGCACGUUAUGGUGGGGACUCAGUGGAGACCGCCGGGGUCAACUCGGAGGAAGGUGGGGAUGACGUCAAGUCAUCAUGCCCCUUAUGUCCAGGGCUUCACGCAUGCUACAAUGGCUGGUACAGAGAGUGGCGAGCCUGUGAGGGUGAGCGAAUCUCGGAAAGCCGGUCUCAGUUCGGAUUGGGGUCUGCAACUCGACCUCAUGAAGUCGGAGUCGCUAGUAAUCGCAGAUCAGCAACGCUGCGGUGAAUACGUUCCCGGG
rnacentral:rRNA from 1 species